rnacentral:lncRNA from 1 species
GGGCGUUUAUCUAUUGACUGUCCUAAGUCAUUACUUUUCCGCAUUAGUUUAGUUUUUUUUUAGUUUAGAAUUCUUAAACUCUAUUUAUUACUUUUUCUCAAUUGUUGAACGAUAAUUGGAUAGUCGGUGAAUGCAAGUCCCUGAGAGACUUUCAUGGGCUUUCUUAAAGCCACUUUACUACUUAAUAUGACCACGUAUACUUUUGUGUGCGC